CAGUUUUGUUCUGAAGAAGGGGGAUUAUCGAUAACGAACAUCGAUUUGACUGGCCGUCUUUCCCAUCUCCGACCCACCUAUCCAACGGCGGAUAGCACAGAGCAAAGCCGCGGCAUUUGUACGCCACUAAAACGGGAUGAAGAAAACUCCACCAGUUACUGUUGCUCUCCAUGGCACCGACGGUAAUGACCCAUCAGCAGGGGAUGACGCGCUUGCAUUACGUAAUUCCAGCGGUACGAACAGGAUUGUCUCCAAACGUGUCUGUCACGUUUUGCAGCCAUUUGCAACGCUCGUCAGGAAUUCAGCGGGAAGACUCAUCAUUCGUUGUGGAAGCCUUUGUUGGGGUACUAAUCCAACAUCCAGACGAUACCACACACCAGGCGGAACACUACAGACAUCAAGAAAAUACGUCACGACAAGAUCAAAGGGUGACCACUCCAUACCAGAAACCGUACUCCCCAAGAACUAGAACACAAGACCAGUGUACCAUAGGAAUAAUGUUCUCACAC